rnacentral:rRNA from 1 species
UACAGAGGGUGCAAGCGUUGUUCGGAAUCAUUGGGCGUAAAGCGCACGUAGGCGGCCGACCAAGUCAGGUGUGAAAGCCUGGGGCUCAACCCCAGAAGUGCACUUGAAACUGGUUGGCUUGAAUGUCGGAGAGGGUAGUGGAAUUCCGAGUGUAGAGGUGAAAUUCGUAGAUAUCAAGCGGAACACCGGUGGCGAAGGCGGCCUUCUGGACAGUGACUGACGCUGAGACGCGAAAGCGUGGGGAGCAAACAGG